CAUACGGGUGGCAGCAGUGGGGAAUAUUGCACAAUGGGGGAAACCCUGAUGCAGCGACGCCGCGUGAAGGAAGAAGUAUUUCGGUAUGUAAACUUCUAUCAGCAGGGAAGAAAUGACGGUACCUGACUAAGAAGCCCCGGCUAACUACGUGCCAGCAGCCGCGGUAAUACGUAGGGGGCAAGCGUUAUCCGGAUUUACUGGGUGUAAAGGGAGCGUAGGCGGUAAUGCAAGUCAGAAGUGAAAGCCCGGGGCUCAACUCCGGGACUGCUUUUGAAACUGUGUUGCUAGAGUGCAGGAGAGGUAAGUGGAAUUCCUAGUGUAGCGGUGAAAUGCGUAGAUAUUAGGAGGAACACCAGUGGCGAAGGCGGCUUACUGGACUGUAAAUGACGCUGAGGCUCGAAAGCGUGGGGAGCAAACAGGAUUAGAUACCCUAGUAGUC
rnacentral:rRNA from 1 species